rnacentral:rRNA from 1 species
AUACGGAGGGUGCAAGCGUUAUGCGGAAUCACUGGGCGCAAAGGGUGCGUAGGCGGUUUGAUAAGUCUGAUGUGAAAUCCUAUGGCUCAACCAUAGAACUGCAUUGGAAACUGUCAGACUAGAAUACUGAAGGGGCAGAUGGAAUUAGUGGUGUAGGGGUAAAAUCCGUAGAUAUCACUAGGAAUACCGAAAGCGAAAGCGAUCUGCUGGGAAGUUAUUGACGCUGAGGCUCGAAAGCGUGGGGAGCAAACGGGAUUAGAAACCCCUGUAGUCC